CAGGUACANCGGGAAGCCAUGCGGCGACGCAGAGCGGAACCCGAAAACCUGUCUCAGUUCGGAUUGGAGUCUGCAACCCGACUCCAUGAAGCUGGAUUCGCUAGUAAUCGCGCAUCAGCCACGGCGCGGUGAAUACGUUCCCGGGCCUUGUACACACCGCCCGUCAAGCCAUGGAAGCCGGGAGUGCCUGAAGUGCGUGAGCGCAAGCAGCGCCCUAAGGUAAAACCGGUGACUGGGGCUAAGUCGUAACAAGGUAAC
rnacentral:rRNA from 1 species